GUCUGCAACUCGACUGCAUGAAGCUGGAAUCGCUAGUAAUCGCGGAUCAGAAUGCCGCGGUGAAUACGUUCCCGGGUCUUGUACACACCGCCCGUCACACCAUGGGAGUCGGAUAUGCCCGAAGUCAGUGACCCAACCGCAAGGAGGGAGCUGCCGAAGGUGGAGCCGAUGACUGGGGUGAAGUCGUAACAAGGUAUC
rnacentral:rRNA from 1 species